UCUAUCUAUACAUUAAAGCUGGGAGCAACGGCGAGCUCCCAAGCUAUCCACGUCAGUUUUUUUCACGAUUGGUGUUUAACGGACGGAAGGUUUCCCUUUCUUUGACUAGUACACAACACCGAAGCAUUCCAGAAACUCACUUGAGAUCCUCCUUUGCCAUCCCACCGGAAGCCAAACCUUUCCCCCUCCAUGCCGCACUAGGGUAGCUACUGCCAAGGCGCGUCGGUCCAAGGAAGCUCGUGUUCCUGCGUGCCACGUUCAUGGAGUUGCCCGACACGUCCCGCUUCUUCGUGCUAUCGUUCAUCGUCGCACCGCUGCCCACCAACUCCUCCUAGAGUACAUCCACCCAAACUCUGUUCGCUCCCCAGGCGGCAGCGCGCUCGGAGGUCCUAGCCUAGCGGCCUCAGCCUCGACAUUCCAUCUGCUCCCCAGGCGGAGCGUGCUCGGUGGUUCUACUCCUAGCAGGCUCGGACUCGGCACUCCGUCCGCUCCCUAGGCAGCAAUGCCUUCAGAUGUCCUAGCGGCCUUGACAUCGUUCCGAGUGCUGGGCGCCAUGCAGGUGUUUGACAAAAUGUCCAUGUCGUCUAUCAUGGUCGUGUCAUGCCCAGCGUUGGGAGAUCGUGCUCACCUACUGCAGCUAAUCGUAUAAAGCGACUUUAGCUUUCGUCUGGGAACAAUUUAUUUUUUAGGUUCUCAGUGCCAAAUAGCUUGGCGGGCUAGAGGAUGUGAAAAGGAUUCUUCUAGAUACUAUUCUGGUAAAUUUGACUUGGUUCAGCAGUAAAUAUCAGCAACACCAAUAUGACGCUCAAUUAUAGCUCCCUUUGACGUAUAAUCACCUGAUUUCUUCUAAAUUGCGCAAGCGAUCAGGUGUCUGGGUAUAUGGACCUCCGGGAACAGGGAAGGUAGGUUUGAAAAGGUUUCACACGAAUUAAAUUAUAUUUUUUUGUUUAGUUACCAUAACAAGUGCAUUCUGUCUCUUAGGAGACAUCCGAUAACAAGUGCAUCCUAAAGACAUGGGAUCGCUAAAAUGAAUGUAUGUUGGACUUCUAGGCUUUACUCGCGAAAGCCUGAAUACUCACUGAACUUUCGUAGCGUCAAAGGUCCAGAACUGAUAAACAUGUAUGUUGCAGAAACAGAAAAGAAUGUUGAGGAUAUUUUGAAAAGGUAUGGAAUUUACACAGC